rnacentral:rRNA from 1 species
CUUAGUGACAGACGGGUGAGUAACAUGUGGGUAUCUACCCUUUGGCCUGGAAUAACACGAGGAAACUUGUGCUAAUACUGGAUAAGUCUUUACGGAGAAAGCUUUAUGCACCAUUGGAUGAGCCCGCACUUGAUUAGUUUGUUGGUGGGGUAAUGGCCUACCUAGACUGUGAUCAAUAGCUGAUUUGAGAGGAUGAUCAGCCACAUUGGGACUGAGACACGGCCCAAACUCCUACGGGAGGCAGCAGUGGGGAAUCUUGCACAAUGGAGGAAACUCUGAUGCAGCGAUGCCGCGUGAGUGAAGAAGGCCCUUGGGUUGUAAAGCUCUUUCGUCGGGGAGCAAAAUGACUGUACCCGAAUAAGAAGGUCCGGCUAACU